GACGAACGCUGGCGGCGUGGAUUAGGCAUGCAAGUCGAACGGUAUCAUCCUUUCGGGGGUGAGAGAGUGGCGAACUGGUGAGUAACACGUAGGUUAUCUACCCUCAAGACGGGGACAACCCAGGGAAACUUGGGCUAAUACCGGAUGUGAGCAACUUUUAGUUGUUUGAAAGGUGGCGUAAGCUGUCGCUUGGGGAUGAGCCUGCGUCCUACUAGUUAGUUGGUGAGGUAACGGCUCACCUAGGCAAUGAUAGGUAGGCGGCCUUAACGGGUGGUCGCCCACACUGGGAUUGAGAUACGGCCCAGACUCCUACGGGAGGCAGCAGUCGAGAAUAGUCUACAAUGGUCGGAAGACUGAUAGUGCGACGCCGCGUGAACGAUGAAUCCCUUCGGGGUGUAAAGUUCUUUUAUAUGUGAGCAGUGCUUCUUAUAUUAACAGUAUGGGGAGAGAGAUAUUAGCAUAUGAAUAAGCAACGGCUAACUCCGUGCCAGCAGCCGACGGUAAACUCG
rnacentral:rRNA from 1 species